UCUUCUGAUCUAUUUUGUCAGUUUUAUGAAGAAUUGCUAUUCAUUGGCUUUUCACAGGUAAACUCAGGGGAGAAUUUUUUUUUAAGAAUACAGAAAAUGAAUAAUUUUUCUGUUG